rnacentral:rRNA from 1 species
UACGUAGGGUGCGAGCGUUGUCCGGAAUUAUUGGGCGUAAAGAGCUCGUAGGCGGCUUGUCGCGUCGGAUGUGAAAGCCCGGGGCUUAACUCCGGGUCUGCAUUCGAUACGGGCAGGCUAGAGUGUGGUAGGGGAGAUCGGAAUUCCUGGUGUAGCGGUGAAAUGCGCAGAUAUCAGGAGGAACACCGGUGGCGAAAGCGGCUUACUGGGUCUCUUCUGACGCUGAGGUACGAAAGCUAGGGUAGCGAACGGG